UAAAAAUUGUUUCAAGUUCCUUAAUUUUUAGUUCUUUCUUUUGACUGUUGUGUGGUUCCGGUUUUGUCCUGUGAUAAUUAUAUUUUAUAUGGAAGAAAACACUGUAUACAGAUGGAAAAUAGAUUUUAACAAACUUUCAUUUUCUCAUUACAAGUGCUGUCUAUGUCAGGACUUUAUUUGAUGAAGCAUGUGCUUACUUUGGUUUUGGGACUUUCUGUAUAGUGUAUUGUAUUUUAGUUUUGGUUUUAGUAUUGGCACUUACUCUGUUGCAAAGGCCUGGUUUGAAGUGACUCCAGCAUAGUGCUCGGCGCUUUCCUUUUUGUCAAACAAUAUUUUUUCAACGAAAUCACAAGAAGGGUCAGUGGCCUUGCUUGUAUCGGAAGCAGCUCUCUUCAUUACCGUUCGGAUAAGGGAAAAGACCGAUGUGAACAAUCUGCAACUAAUUUCGAGUGCCAAUUGAGCCUUUUUAACUUGGAAGAAGAUGCAGCAAAAUGUUAUAAAAUAGUGCUUCCUAAGGAAAAUUUCUCAGGGAAGCCCCUCUCAGGAGCUCUGAGGGGAGCACGACGUGGCGAACACCAGGCAGUGCUGCCCCUUCCCUCCAGGCUGGCAUCGCCUCGCAGCACCGGCACGCUGCUCCAGGACAGGGCGAAGCCGCGAGGUGUCACUUCAUGCUUCCCAUGGACGUGCCACCAGGAGGACGCAGUCGUGGCUGGAAGCCAUCCCCGACAGCCCUGGGUCUGGGUUUCAAGCUGGCUGCGGUGGUGUGGGAAGAGCUGGAGGAACCUCACUCAGGAGGCGAGAGGAGCCGGGACGAGCAGCCUUCCCCUUCAAACGCAGCAGCCCGGGGCCCGUCCGAGUAUUUGGCUUAAAAGGGAUAAAUGGGAGCAUGGAGCCGAGCAGCGGGAUCAGCCCCUCAAUAGGAUUUCAUGCGUUUUCAAGUGAUAUCUGUCUUGAUUCGAAAAACAAAAAACAACGAAAAGACAACAACCAAAAACCUUCACAGUGCACAAAGUGAGAAAUGUGGCUUUAAUUUGGGCAACUAAUCGCUUCCAGCUGAACCAGCCAUUAAAAACAGUUGAAGAAUUACAAUGUAAAUAGAUUAAUGCAGACAAAGCAACAUGUGCACUAUUCCAUGUCUUCUUGUUACCUACAAAAUACUUCAGCAGUGACACACUGUUAGUCUAAGCCACUUGUUAGGUUCUGUGCUAAUCAGCUAAAAUUAAAUAAACAUGACUGAUAAAAACGAAUGUUGUGUUUG
rnacentral:lncRNA from 1 species